GCGAAACCGGGGUCAGGAGCCGCGGGAAUAAGGGGGUGGGUAGUGGUAAUCGGGUUUAUGGGGCUGAAAGCGUGCGGAGGCGGAUGUAUAAGUCAGGUGUGAAAUCCCAAAGCUUAACCGUGGAACUGGAUUUGAAACGUGUAGACUAGAGGAAAGUAGAAGGGGGUAGAAUAACAAGUGUAGCGGUGAAAUGCGUAGAUAGUAGGAAGAACACCAAUUGCGAAGGCAAGUUACUGAACUUUAACUGACGCUGAAGGACGAAAGCAUGGGGAGCAAACAGGAUUAGAUACCCGUGUAGUC
rnacentral:rRNA from 1 species